CAUCUUUCAGGGCCAACAUGCUCCUGCUGCUCCGCAGCGAGGGCUUAAGCAGCACAUCCACCAAACGCAAGAAAAAGAUCCUUAACAGUUAAAUCUGAUUUGAAGCACCUCCACACUGCACAGCUCCACCUUAUACUGCCAAGACAAUAUAUUUCCAGCCAGGCAGAAGAAAGGCUAGGCAUGUUUGUGAGCUGGAGUGGGCGCUAAAUAUUUCAAUAACAGCUCACUGACAGUGAGAAAGAGAGCAGGAGAGCAGGAGGUGCAGCAGGGCUUGGUGCUAGACGCUGUGGGAGCAGCAGUGAAGGGUGACAGGUUGGUGCCGGUGUUACAUGAGGAAGUGUCUGAAAACAUCAGCAAUCGGACGCAUAACAACACCAGGAACGUUAAAAGCGAGAAGUGGACCGAGGCCGCAUGGCACAUUGAUAAAAGAGGCAAAGGAAGGCAUCCAUUGAGUCUCCACUUAUGCUGCUGGUACAAGGUGUGCGUGUGAGCGGUAGAAAGACACGAAGAGAUGAGCUUUUACUCUCACAGACAACAUGACCAUAGCUGAGGAUGAUUGACAAUGGAGAGAGACAGAAAAGGCAUGGGAGAGAGAGGGUAUGAUAUGUAUCAAAGGGCCAAAGGUGGCCUUGAACCCAGGCCACUGUGGUAAGGACGCCUUGAGCCAGAUGAGCUACCGGGGCUUCUCCAGUAUUGAUGUUCCCAAUCUUUCCCAAACCUUAAAGUGAAACUAUGUAACUUUUGAUAGAAGAAAUAAAAACAAAAUUCUCCUUUUAA